ensembl:lncRNA
AUUUAGUUUAGUGUGGGGAGAGAUAUUUAGUUUGGUGAGAGAUAUUUAGUUUGGUGUGGGGAGAGAUAUUUUGUUUAGUGUGGGGAGAUAUAUUUAGUUUAGUGUGGGGAGAGAUAUUUAGUUUAGUGUGGGGAGAAAUAUUUAGUUUAGUUUGGGGAGAGAUAUUUAGUUUAGUGUGGGGAGAGAUAUUUAGUUUAGUAUGGGGAGAGAUAUUUAGUUUAGUAUUGGGAGAGAUAUUUAGUUUAGUGUGGAGGGAUAUAUUUAGUUUAGUGUGGGGGGAUAUAUUUUAGUGUGGGGAGAGAUAUUUAGUUUAGUGUGAGGAGAGAUAUUUAGUUUAGUGUGGGGAGAUAUAUUUAGUUUAGUGUGGGGAGAGAUAUUUAGUUUAGUAUGGGGAUAGAUAUUUAGUUUAGUAUGGGGAGAGAUAUUUAGUUUAGUGUGGGGAGAGAUAUUUAGUGUGGGGAGAGAUAUUU